rnacentral:rRNA from 1 species
GAUGAACGCUGGCGGCGUGCCUAAUACAUGCAAGUCGAGCGAACGGACGAGAAGCUUGUUUCUCUGAUGUUAGCGGCGGACGGGUGAGUAACACGUGGAUAACCUACCUAUAAGACUGGGAUAACUUCGGGAAACCGGAUCUAAUACCGGAUGAUAUUUUGAACCGCAUGGUUCAAAAGUGAAAGACGGUCUUGCUGUCACUUAUAGAUGGAUCCGCGCUGCAUUAGCUAGUUGGUAAGGUAACGGCUUACCAAGGCAACGAUGCAUAGCCGACCUGAGAGGGUGAUCGGCCACACUGGAACUGAGACACGGUCCAGACUCCUACGGGAGGCAGCAGUAGGGAAUCUUCCGCAAUGGGCGAAAGCCUGACGGAGCAACGCCGCGUGAGUGAUGAAGGUCUUCGGAUCGUAAAACUCUGUUAUUAGGGAAGAACAUAUGUGUAAGUAACUGUGCACAUCUUGGCGGUACCUAAUCAGAAAGCCACGGCUAACUACGUG